GACGAACUGCCCUAACGUUGUUCGGAAUCACUGGGCUUAAAGGGCGCGUAGGCGGCGAUAGAAGUCAGGGGUGAAAUCCGGCAGCUCAACUGUCGAAGUGCCUUUGAUACUCUAUUGCUCGAGGGAGGUAGGGGUCUGUGGAACUUCUGGUGGAGCGGUGAAAUGCGUUGAUAUCAGAAGGAACGCCGGUGGCGAAAGCGACGGACUGGACCUUUUCUGACGCUGAGGCGCGAAAGCUAGGGGAGCAAACGGG
rnacentral:rRNA from 1 species